rnacentral:lncRNA from 1 species
GAGCCAGCACAGCCAACGUUUACACUUUUUCCUAGGUGAAGCAGUAACAGUUCAUGGAGCUGCCCUUCACAAACCUGGAAGUAGCUUUCAUCUUACUGGCUUUUGUCAUUUUCUCCUUGUUCACCUUGGCAUCUAUCUACAGUGACCCCCAUGGCAAGGAAGAAGAAGAAUGCUCUACACAGGAAGUACACAGGAAAAGAAGCAAAUCCAAGAAGAAAAAGACACAUGCAAACACAGCUGAAUUGGUUUAGAGAAAGAAUUGUUACCCAGGUCCAACAUUGGAAACACAUCUGAAAGAGAUAACCUUGGAAGCUGGUCACCUGGACACAGUGAGAAAAAGGGUGUGAGAAAGGAAGGACCUGAUCAUCCAUCAGAUGGAAUCCAGACGUGACAAUUAGAGUUAAUGAACCACGACCCAAGAAGCAGUUUCAGCACUUUUUACAAUCCCACUUCAUGGCCUCAGUAAAACUUUCAGGGCUUUUUUUUUUUUUUUUUUCCCCACAGAACACAUCUGCUCCAAAUUCUAAAGGGAGAAACUGGUUUCAGAAGUUACGUUUGGUUUCUUCCCCACUUUUCAGUCAUGUACGAGGUAAAUGCAAAAUCUUUGUUAACUGAAAAUCAGAAGAUACUGCUUCUAUGAUGAGAUUUUAUAGUAUUAUUACAGUAGCUAUUUAAUUUAUAUUAAAAUUAAUGAACUGAUAAAGCUGACUGAAAAACACCAAGCAAAUAUUUUCAAAACAUAACCAGUAUGUCAUGUUCAAAUACUGGUUUUGUCCUCAGAUACUCAGAACGCUAAGAGAAUGUCUCAAAGAAGGAAAAAAAAAAGAAGUUGACUGAUACCUAAGUCUUCUAUUUCUUCACAGAGCAGGUAUAGCUAAUGAAGCUGUGCCUCUUUAUCCCCAAAGUCCAGAAGAUCUGCUGAACUUCUAAGCCUGUGAUGCAAUUNNNNNNNNNNNNNNNNNNNNNNNNNNNNNNNUUUCCCUAUGGGCAAAGUAUUCCUGCAGUCAGAGCCUCUCAAUAGUUUCUCAGAAUCACAAAAAUCCAUCCAUUUGGUCUUUUGCUGUUACGUGGAAUGAAGGAUUGAAAUAGGGCCAAACGACUCUUGGUGGCUCUCUUCCCAUACCAGAUACACCUUUCCUUGGCCUCCUCCUAAGAUGUGUUACCAAAAUAUAACAAUUCACUCUGAAACCUGCUAC